rnacentral:misc_RNA from 1 species
UACAGAGGGUGCGCGUGUUAAUCGGAUUUACUGGGCGUAGAGCGUGCGUAGGCUGCUUUUUAAGUCGGAUGUGAAAUCACCGAGCUUAACUUGGGAAUUGACUUCGAUACUGGGAAGCUAGAGUAUGGGAGAGGAUGGUAGAAUUCCAGGUGUAGCGGUGAAAUGCGUAGAGAUGUGGAGGAAUACCGAUGGCGAAGGCAGCCAUCUGGCCUAAUACUGACGCUGAGGUACGAAAGCAUGGGGAGCAAACAGG